CGAUUCGAGGUCAACCUUGAGAAGUUGGGGUUUUACGGCAGGGGAUCASUCCAAGUAAUAGGCGAGAUAAAAAAUUACUACGUCUAGAGUGUGAACCAACUCCACCACUAACUUUGAGGAGCUACGUUGCCGUAGGCUCCCAACACUAAGCAACUAAGGCUUAAGGGUCGAAAUGACGCUCGAACGGUCCUGCCCACUAGAAUACUAAUGGGCGCAAUAUGCGUUCAAAGAUUCGAUGAUUCACUGAAUUCUGCAAUUCACAUUACUUAUCGCAUUUCGCUGCGUUCUUCAUCGAUGCCAGAACCAAGAGAUCCGUUGUUGAAAGUUUUAACUUAUUUAGUUAUAGGUUCAGAAUUCAAUAUCAAACAGAGUUUGGUGGGCCGCCGGCAGGCUUAUCCGCACCUCCCGGGUAAGUCCUACAGGGUAGGACUACGAGGUAGGCGCGACCUGCCGAGGCAACGUUAGGUAUGUUCACAUGGGUUUGGGAGUUAUAGAACUCUUUAAUGAUCCCUCCGCAGGUUCACCUACGGAA
rnacentral:rRNA from 1 species